ACGGAGCGACCUGAACCUGGAGAAACCGAUCGAGAACGAUCCCCAAUUUCCAACCCUAGACGCGCCUCCUCCUCCAGUCCUCCCGGCUGACGGCUCAACGGCUCGACGCCGCCGGACUGCUCCUCCUCCUCCACGCCGCCGCUGCCUGCUGGGUCCUCUUCCAAGUUCUAACCUUCCGCUAUGCAAUUUUUUUUUUGUGUCCUGGCAUCUUUGAAUUUCAUGUUUACAGUACACAAAAUUGGAAGACACUGAAAUUUAGUAUCUACUUUGAUAGCUCAUUCCACAAGAUGUAGUAUUUAACAAAGCUAACCAUCUUAAAGGUAUAUUACCAUCUUGUCGAAAGCUACAACCUUGAAUCCUAACAAAGCUAGUCCUGCCUGAAAUAGUCCAAACCACGAUGGUUGCUUUGAUAUUGUGUAAUAUUUACUUGCAAAAGAAAAUAUGUUUAAAGAAAGCAAAUCUUUGUCCAUUUUCCUAGGAUCCAGAUUAAACCCUCUUGGAAUAAGAGCAGCAGCAAGAUCUCUCCUACGGGUCUGCAAACCCCACAAACAAGAUAAGAGAGACAUACUUAAUGGAUCAGCAAUGAAUCCACAUUCAGAAACUACUAGAAUCGUCGGUGCUAUACAUAUGCAUGAAGUACAAUAAAAAUAUUGUAGUUAACUUGUUGGGUAUAUCACUGCUGUUGCCUCCUAAUUUUUGUGAUGAACGAAUAGUGCACAUUUUGCGUGUAAAUCCGAGAUGCCUCGAAAGGUUGGGAGGUGAACUUGUACUGGUGCUUCCUCCUGCAAUUUCUAAUGCUCUGACAAAGGUUACCUUAGCAGCUGUGUUGGAAUGGACAAUAGCAGACAAGUAUGCUACAAAGUUAAUACAAGCUGAUUGAAGUGAUUUAUUUUUACCUCACAGUUGCAUUUUGUUGGCAGAUUUUUGUGGAGUUUGAUUGCUGUUGUGGAAUGGUGGGACAUUAUCACUUGCAAACAGAGUUCUGCUACAGAUAUUUUCGGGCACAUGUCUUUCAAGUACGACAAGAAUAUUGUAGUUAGCUUGUUGGGUAUAUCAUUGCUGUUGUCUCCUAAUUUUUGUGAGGAACAAAUGGUGUACAUUUUGAGAUGCCUAGAAAGGUUGGGAGGUGACUUGUACUGCUGCUUCCUCCUGCAAUUUUUAAUGCUCUGACAAGGGUUAGCUUAGCUGCUGUGUUGGAAUGGGCAAUAGCAGAGUAGCAGACAAAUUUUGGUGGAGUUUGAUUGCUGUUGUGGAUUAGUGGGACAUUGUCACUUGCAAACAGAGUUUUGCUGCAGAUAUUUUUGGUGAGUAACUAAGUUUGUAGUUUUCCAAGUUUAAUUUAUUCGACUUUCCCGUGCAAUUUCAAGGGAAGUCGACAGCUUAUCUGAACAAUGCCCUGUAAUUGUAAACAAACUUGUAAGAAAUGACAUUAUUUCAUGUCUGAAGCAGUUUUAUCAACCACAUUGCCAUUUUAGCAAACCAAAAAGUGUACUAUUUGAUUCAGAACUUCUACUUAGUGCGUGUUAAAUGCCCUCUUUUAUAACAGUACUUUGUUUUUCGGAUAGUGUCAGUAUAAUAUUUUUAAGCAAGUAAACAAUAGAAGGGGCAGAAUUUACCCAUUAGUUGAUAGUGACUUUCUUAUUGUUUUAUUGAACGUAUUAUUCCAAAGCACCGUCCAGCACUAAGUUGAAACCAUUGAAAGCUUCCUUCGAAUAGGAUGGAUCCCGAGAGAUCUACUAGUGCCCUUAACACCUUCAAAGAUACCAAUC